rnacentral:lncRNA from 1 species
UAACUAUGCACGUGUACAAAAUCUGAUGAAUGUCAUUGGAUGCAGUAUAAAAUCAUUGAUUGCGUUGGUCUUUGCAGGUGUGGGGUGUGCCUGGACUUUACCAAGGUGGCCAGGUGCCAGGACAAGGGUUUGGUGGUCGUGGAGUGUUGCCCGGUGUGGCCACUGGGAACGGACUCAAUCCCAAAUCAUUGCCAGGUGGAGGACAGCAGGGACCAGGAGGCUCGGGUCGUGUUGGUUAUGGAGGACCAAUGCAGCCAGGAGUAUUCCAUGGAUACCCACUCAAAACACCCAAAACACAAGGUGGCUAUGGAGCAAAAGUUGGAGGAGCUGGAGGCAAACUUCCAUUUGGAUAUGGAGGCUUUGGUGGUGGUGGUGGAGCAGGCCUUCCUGGUGGAAAAGGUGGUCCUGGAUCCAAGCCUGGAUACCCCAUUGGAACUGGUGUUGGGACAGGAGGUCUUAACCCGGCCCAGGCUCAGGCUAAAGCUGCUAAAUAUGGUGCUGGUCCUGGUUUGGGUGGUGUGCCUGGUGCAGGUGGAGCUUACCCUGGAGCAGGAGGAGCUUACCCUGGAGCAGGAGGAGCUUACCCUGGAGGAGUCCCAGGAGGUGCGGGUGGGGUCCCAGGUCUUGGAUCAGUAGCAGGAGGAGCAGGAGGAGUACCUGGAUGGUUACCCGCAGGAGCUGGAGGAUAUAACCCUGCUGCGGCCAAAGCUGCUAAAUAUGGAGUUCCAGGGGGUGCAGGUGCAGGCCUAGGAGCUGGAGGAUUUGGUGGGGUACCAGGAGGAGGAGGAGGGGGUGUACCUGGGGCCGGAGGACUCCCAGGAGGAGGUGCAGGCAGGCUCCCAGGUGCUGGCUCAGUCGCAGGAGGAGCAGGAGGAGUACCUGGGGCUGGAGGAUAUAAUCCUGCUGCGGCCAAAGCCGCUAAAUAUGGAGUUCCAGGAGGAGCAGGUGCAGGGUUAGGAGGAGCUGGAGGCUAUGGAGCGGGAGCCAGGCCUCCCUAUUACGGUGUUCCAGGGGGUGCUGGAUUUGGGGGAGCAGGAGCUUUUCCAGGGUCUGGAGGAUUCAACCCUGCCGCCGCCGCCAAAGCUGCUAAAUAUGGGGUCCCAGGAGGUACAGGGGCAGGCCUAGGAGCUGGAGGUCUUGGAGGAACAGGAGGGGUACCAGCAGGAGGAGCUGGGGCUGGAGGUGUCCCCGGAGGUGCAGGAGCAGGCCUAGGAGCAGGAGGAGUACCAGGAGGAGGAGCAGGGGGGGUACCUGGGGCUGGAGGAUAUAAUCCUGCUGCAGCCAAAGCAGCUAAAUAUGGAGUUCCAGGAGGUACAGGAGCAAGCCUAGGAGCUGGAGGACUUGGAGGAGGAUAUGGAGGAGCAGGAGGGGCUGGGGCUGGAGGAUAUAACCCUGCUGCGGCCAAAGCUGCUAAAUAUGGAGUUCCCGGAGGUGCAGGAGCAGGCCUAGGAGCUGGGGGAGCAGGAGGAGUACCAGGAGGAGGAGCAGGGGGUGUACCUGGGGCUGGAGGAUAUUAUCCCGCUGCGGCCAAAGCUGCUAAAUAUGGAGUUCCAGGAGGCCUAGGAACAGGCUUAGGAGGAGGAGGACUUGGAGGAGUACAGGGAGGAGUACCUGGAGGAGGAGCAGGGGGUGUACCUGGGGCUGGAGGAUAUAAUCCUGCUGCAGCCAAAGCUGCUAAAUAUGGUCAGGGGGCUGCUGGUGGGCCAGGGGGUGGAUAUGGUGGCGUGCCUGCUGGAGGAUAUCCCAGGCCUGGGGGCUAUGGGGGGUAUGGAGGGGCAGGAGCUGGAGGGUAUAAUCCUGCUGUGGCCAAAGCUGCUAAAUAUGUCCCAGGAGCUGGAGGAGCAGGCCUAGGAGCUGGAGGAGCAGGCCUAGGAGGAGCAGGAGGAGUACCAGGGCCUGGGGCUGGACCAGGAUAUGGAGGCUAUGGAGGAUAUGGAGGGGUACCAGCAGGAGGGGCUGCUGCUGCGGCCAAAGCUGCUAAAUAUGGAGUACCAGGAGGUGCAGGAGCAGGCCUUGGAGCUGGAGGACUUGGAGGAGCAGGAGGAGUACCAGGGGCUGGAGGAUAUAACCCUGCAGUGGCCAAAGCGGCUAAAUAUGGAGUCCCCGGAGGUGCAGGAGCAGGCAUAAGAGCUGGAGGAACAGGAGGAUUACCAGGAGGAGGAGCAGGGGGUGUACCUGGGGCUGGAGGAUAUAAUCCCGCUGCAGCCAAAGCUGCUAAAUAUGGAGUCCCAGGAGGUGUAGGAACAGGCCUAGGAGCAGGAGGACUUGGAGGAGGAGGACAGGGAGGAGUACCUGGACAAGUAGGAGCUGGAGGAUAUGAUCCCGCAGCCAAAGCUGCUAAAUAUGGUAUGCCAAGUGGGGCGGGCAUCGGUGGAGAAGGUGUGCCAGCACCUAUAGCGACUCCAAGACCAGGUGUGGGCGUGGGUGGUGGUGUUGGAGGAACUGCCAUUGAGCGCACUGACGUACCAGUGGGCACAGGGAUACCUAUCGCAGGCAAACCAGCAGAGGAUUCAUCUCUAGAACCCAGUGGAACUCCCAUCCCAGGUGCCACAGGAGUAACUGGAGUUGGGGCUGGGGUUCUUCAACCUAGUGUUGGUACAGGCCCAGCUCAGCCUGGUGUGGGUGUCGGAGCAGGUGGCAAAGCUCCUAAACCCCCUGGUGCAGGGGGAUACCCGUAUGGUGGUUAUGGACAGGAUCCAUACGGAGCAGGAGCUGGACAACUUCCUGGAGCCAAGCCCCUGAAACCUCCAGUUGUGGGAGGAGCAGGUGGUGUGGCUGGAGGAGCAGGUAUCCCUCUUACUGGAGCAGGUGGUGGUGCAGGGGGAUACCCGUAUGGUUAUGGUCAAGGUGGUUAUGGACAGGGACAGGGUGUGAGGUAUCCCACUGGUGUUGGUCUGGGGGCAGGAGCAGGUCAAAAAGCACCCAAACCCCCAGGUUAUGGUAACCUAGGUGCUGGUGGUGCUGGUUAUAAUCCAGGUGCUGGUGCGGUCCCAGGUUACGGCGGUGGCUACCCACAACAACAGGGUUACCCACAGCAAGGUGGCAGCUACCCACAACAACCCUACCCAGGAGCAUAUGGAGCAGGCCAGACGGCACCACUGACUCCUCAACAAGCCAAAGCAGCCAAGUAUGGCCCACUCCAGGGCUUCCUUGGUGGAGCAGGAGGAGGAGGCUACAGACCAGGAGGAGUUGCUGCUGGAUGCCAAAGCAAAUACUGUGGAAGGCAGAAGUAGAGGAUGUUCUUCAGAAGAAGUUGAACCUCAAGAAACAAUGGUGCUACUGCAUGAUCUAGAAUGUACAUUUUAUAUGCACAAAAUCCCCCAUUACAGUAUGUAAAGAUAUGUUGUACUUUAUUUGACUCAAUAUAUUUUUUAUACAAACCCACCGACCCAGACUUUUGCACACAUUUGAUGUGACUUAGUGUUUUUGAUUGUGCCUUUAUCAUUGUUCAUUGUGUUCAUCAGCUCUUACUGACAUGUCUGCGAUGCUCCCUUUUAGUAGUUACCAAGUGUUUGUAUGUGCAUGCAUGUGUGUGGGCGUGGAUGUGUGGCUGUGUGUCUCUCUAUGUGCUUGUGAGUUUUCACAUGUUGCCAGAGAUGUUUGGGUAUAUAGGAGAAUAUGAAAGAUUAUCCAACUAGAGCCAUUCAGCAUGCUUUUAAUGCAGAGAAGUGCUCCAAGUCAAAACCAGCACCAUUCCUGUAACUGUACAUCCCUCUCCAUGUGCUUAGUGUCUGUGUGUACCAAAGUUGGAGAUCUUCACAUACUGACAUCUCAAACCAAGGGUUGAGCUUCAAGAGGUGUGGUUGGUAAAGUGCUGAUAAACUUUGGCCAUGUAUCUUCAGAACUGCCUCCUCUGGCUUUCUAUCAUCUCUGCUGCUAUUUAUAGCCCUGGGUGAAAUAGCAGUGGCAUAGCGCGUGUGUGUGGGCACAGGUUUCACAGUCCAUCUGCCAUCAGCAACUUUGACUAUAUUUUAAGUGCCAUGGUGUAAGUAGCCUUCUUGCCUUGAUUUCUGACAAACUUGGGAAGUAUGAAGAGCAGGUGUUGCUCUGAAUGUGAUAAAGCUGAUGACAAUCAAUCCAAAGGUGUUCAAAAGAUUUGUAGGUGAUAUCUUCAGUGAUAUUCAUAUCAUACAUUGUGUUGGUUUGUACCCAAGUCCUUUCAAAUGGUGUGUUUUGUUUUUUAAAUGAUUUGUAUGUUUUAAGUUUUACAAACAUGUAAAAGUAAAACUGAAAUCCUUUCGAUACUGCUCUGGCAUGUCUUGUACGUUAUGUAUGUAUGUAUUGAACAUUUUGUUUUAUUAAUUACUUAUCAUUUUUCUGGUGUCCAAGAUUAAGUGCCUAGAAUGUUAUGCAUAUCUGUAAUCAAUCUAGUUUCACAUGCAGUUAUAGUUUCAUUUAUGCAAAUUGUCGCUCAUUAUUCAAGUUUCAAAUGUUUCCGCUCAUGAAAGUAGACUAUCACCAUAUUUGUGUAAUCUUGAAUAAGGCAAAAAAUGUUUGUUAAAAAAAAAUAUAUAUUUGGGUAAUGCAUUUAAUCACUGUUGAGAAUUUUAAUAUGUGUCUGUGUGUAGGCUAUAGCCCCUAGUCUGUGUAAAUUGUGAGAGUGAGCUCCCAUUUCACUCUUUACUUGAGUUAGUUACAGUUGAAUAAGACUCACUAGACAUUACUGACCAAAGAUUGAUUCGCUCUGUUAUAAAGUUACACUACGAUGUCUCUUUAGGGAUUGUGUGUACUGUAUGUUGUAGUAAUUGCCCUAGGUUAUCAUGACUCUCACUCGCUUCAGUUUUUGUAGCCUACUCGUGAGGCUUUUUCUGAACUGUGUGUGAGCCGCUCCUCUGCCGUGCGGUGGGAUAGUAUUCAUCUUAUUUAAAUGGAAAAAGGAGGAACGAUGGGGUUUUGCACUUUUAUAUUUUCAUGACGCACAUGUGACUUGUUCCCGGUAAUCCCGGCAUUUUAUUUGCUUAAGUAAAAUAACGAAAUAAAAUGGUUAAUAAAUACA